AAUCUUUCACAGGUGCUCAUGUCUACGUAUGAGAUUUGUGAUUUUAUUGAAAAUUAUUCUUUAGCAUUGAACUAGAUUAUAUGAUCUAGGCCCUGCACCCAGAAAAGACCAGAAAUCUCCAGCACUAAGACCCAAAAAGAAGCCUCUUCAGGGGGAGCUACAGGGGUGACCUGGUUCCCUUUCAGUUGCCCCCAACUUCCAGUAGAGACCUCCCCUCUGUGUCCUGGUCGCCACAAGGAGCAGUACAUGUGGUUGGUGAACACGUCAUGAGCACAAAGGUCUCAACCAGACAAUGACUGUGACCCAUCAUCUAGAGGCUCCAGGGAACAGUGUGAGCCGGAGACAGGAGACAUUAGACACAGGCACACAGAGAGAAGACAACAUGGAAAUGGCCAGAGCUUGGAGAUACGCAACUGCAAGCCAAGGAACGCCAAGGAUUGCCAGUCAGCACCAGAAGCUGGGAAGAGCAAAGGAAGGAUCG